AGAGUUUGAUCCUGGCUCAGAACGAACGCUGGCGGCGUGCCUAACACAUGCAAGUCGAACGUGAAAGUCCUUCGGGGCGAGUAAAGUGGCGCACGGGUGAGUAGCGCGUGGAUAAUCUACCCGAUGAUCUGGGAUAACAUUUCGAAAGGGGUGCUAAUACCGGAUAAGCCCACGGAGUCUUCGGAUUCUGCGGGAAAAGGAGGGGACCUUCGGGCCUUCUGUCAUCGGAUGAGUCCGCGUACCAUUAGCUAGUUGGUGGGGUAAAGGCCUACCAAGGCUACGAUGGUUAGCUGGUCUGAGAGGAUGAUCAGCCACACUGGAACUGAGACACGGUCCAGACUCCUACGGGAGGCAGCAGUGGGGAAUUUUGCGCAAUGGGGGAAACCCUGACGCAGCAACGCCGCGUGAGUGAUGAAGGCCUUCGGGUCGUA
rnacentral:rRNA from 1 species